AAAGUUGUAUGUGUACGAUGGAAUGACGUCACACCAUGCGGUAUAGGCCUGUUCAAUUGUGGCUUUACACAUUUUUUUACAUUGUGCAAAUGUUUCAGGUGUUGAUGUUUUAUCUGAUUAUUUACAGUACAGCAUUUUGUUGAGGAUUUCAGCCCUCAUAAAGUGAAUGUGAGGUGUAAAAUAGGAGCUCAUCAUUUUUAUUCCCACUGCCGUAUUGUACCGUGUAGUACCACAUGUGAUUUUAGUGUGGUAGUUUCUCUGUAGCGUCUCACAACAUUUUGUUGUUGUGGUAUUCCUUUUGUAUUUAAUUAUUUAACUUUUGUAUCUUUGUGUGGCGGCUGUAUUUUUACGGGGCCGUGUUUGCGAUGGUUAAGAGUUUGUUUCUGCUUAUAGCAGUUGGAUUGUGGAACAAUCUGUUGAACAUUAGGAAUAAUUAUACACUGAGAAAUAUAGAGCUGUGAGAUUUAAACUUUAUUCUCAGCUCUUUGUAUCCUUCUCUGUUUUUUUUGUUCCGUCUAUUUUCAAAAAUAGAUAUUUAACUCUUUUUCUUUGUUUCCGGUCUAUUUUGAGCCGGAACGGUUUCUUGUACACUCUUGUUAAACAUUUCAGAACAUGUCAUUCUUUUGAAAAUACUAAAUGAAUAAACUACAAAGUAAGUAAACCCGCUAAAA